rnacentral:rRNA from 1 species
GCCAACAUCCAUACCACAUUGAAAGUACCAGUUCUCGUCCGAUCACUGAAGUCAAGCAACGUUGGGCACGGUCAGUACUUGGAUGGGUAACCGCUUGGGAACACCAUGUGACGUUAGUA